GUCAGAGAGAGGAACCCCAGAGAAAGUCAGGCAGACAGAGAGGGACAGACACCCGGAGCGACAGAGGAUAAGAGAUGGAGAGAGACACCCCCAGAGGGGAAAAAGUGGUCGGAGAGACACACAGAGGGAAACGGACAGAAAGAGACAAAAACAGACUGACAGAGACAGUGACAGAGACACCUAGGGCACAGGGAGAGAUAAAGACAGAGACGGGAGAGAGAGAGAGAAAUGGAGACCCACAGAGAUGGUAGGAUUGGAGGCAGAGCCCCUGGCCCCAGAGGUGGAAGGCGCAGACAAACAGCCGUGGGGGCCUGGCUGGUGGAGAAGCUGCCUACCUUGGACCUGAGGAUAUUUCAGCAGGAGCAGGAGAGUGUAGCGAAUCGUGGUGCUGACUGUCACCGUCCCGGCGAACAACAGGGGACACAGGUUCGAGCCCUGGUCCGGGAAGAUCCCACGUGCCGCGGAGCAACUAAGCCC